UAAGCAUAUCAAUAAGCGGAGGAAAAGAAACCAACAGGGAUUGCCUUAGUAACUGCGAGUGAAGCGGCAAAAGCUCAAAUUUGAAAUCUGGGGCCUCACAGCCUCCGAAUUGUAAUUUCACGAUACGUUUUCGACUGAAGGCUCUGCUUUAAGUUCCUUGGAACAGGACGUCACAGAGGGUGAGAAUCCCGUGAUAGGUGGAGCCUGAUGCAUAUGAUACGUAUUCAACGAGUCGAGUUGUUUGGGAAUGCAGCUCAAAAUGGGAGGUAAAUUUCUUCUAAAGCUAAAUAUUGGCGAGAGACCGAUAGCGCACAAGUAGAGUGAUCGAAAGAUGAAAAGCACUUUGAAAAGAGAGUUAAAAAGUACGUGAAAUUGUUGAAAGGGAAGCGCUUGAGACCAGACUCAAUCUGUAGUGAUCAAUUUGGCUUCUGUCAGAUGCACUUGCUACUUAUUGGGACAGCAUCGGUUUUGGCGGUGGGAUAAAGUCUUGAGGAAUGUAGCUAUCUUCGGGUAGUGUUAUAGCCUCUUGAGUAAUGCCACCAGCUGGGACCGAGGACCGCGCCGCAAGGCUAGGAUGCUGUCAUAAUGGUCUUCAGCGACCCGUCUUGAAACACGGACCAAGGAGUCUAACAUCUAUGCGAGUGUUCGGGUGGAAAACCCUUGCGCGUAAUGAAAGUGAACGGAGGUGGGAACCUUAGGGUGCACCAUCGACCGAUCCUGAUGUCUUCGGAAGGAUUUGAGUAUGAGCAUAGCUGUUGGGACCCGAAAGAUGGUGAACUAUGCCUGAAUAGGGUGAAGCCAGAGGAAACUCUGGUGGAGGCUCGCAGCGGUUCUGACGUGCAAAUCGAUCGUCAAAUUUGGGUAUAGGGGCGAAAGACUAAUCGAACCAUCUAGUAGCUGG
rnacentral:rRNA from 1 species